AUAAUGUGCGUGACUUCUCUGACACCAUCCAACUUCUAAAGAUCAGGUAUUGGCCAUGCUAGAGAAAGCCAAAGUUAACAUGCCAGCCAAGCCUGCUCCACCCACUAAAGCAACUUCUAAACCAAUGGGAGGGUCCGCUCCAGCCAAAUUCCAGCCUGCAUCAGCACCUGCUGAAGAUUGUAUUUCCAGCAGUACAGAACCCAAACCUGAUCCAAAAAAGGCCAAAGCUCCAGGAUUAUCCUCUAAAGCAAAGAGUGCACAAGGGAAGAAGAUGCCAAGCAAAACCAGCUUAAAGGAGGAUGAAGACAAAUCCGGGCCUAUUUUUAUUGUUGUUCCAAAUGGAAAAGAGCAAAGGAUGAAAGAUGAAAAAGGAUUGAAGGUGCUAAAGUGGAAUUUUACUACCCCACGGGAUGAAUACAUUGAGCAACUAAAGACUCAAAUGUCUAGCUGUGUGGCUAAAUGGUUACAAGAUGAGAUGUUUCACUCAGACUUUCAGCAUCAUAACAAAGCCCUUGCUGUUAUGGUUGAUCACUUGGAGAGUGAAAAAGAAGGAGUUAUUGGUU
rnacentral:sRNA from 1 species